CCUAACAGUUCUUCAUUAGCCACUACAUGAGCACUGAAACAUACACUCCAACAUAGUGCCCAAGUUUUGAGAACACUGGCUGAGAGGUGAACACCAAGGUGUGAAUAUUCAGUUGCGUACUUAACAGCACACAGAAGACCCAUUGACAGACCAACCAGACUGAAAGGCAGCUACAGUCUGAGGAAGAUCAGAGGUUUAAAUUUGUUUCGCAAUGGUAAGACCUGCAAAAUGAAAUGAUUCAGAUCCAAGAUAAAGCAUUACAUCGUGUUUCAUACUCAAAGCAUAAACAGACUGUUGAGCAAGAAAGGACUGUUUACUUUUUAGUGUUGUUUUCCUUUUCUUACAAUGAAAUAGAAAUGUAAUAGUUAUAGGAAAUUUUAACCUAAUUAUGUAUUUUCCAAAAAUGCAUCGCUAGAACAUUUUAGGAUGACAGUUUGUAAGAAAGUAAGCCAGAACUGUGCUUUUGAAGCAACAAUUUUUUAUGCAGGGCAGAGUUUUGUGGAUGCAUCCAUCCAAGUUUCCAAACACAUUUUGCCUACGGGGAAUCGAGAAUGCAAAAUGCCUCUAGGAGCAUUAGAAAAGUGCCACAAUUCUAAGGGACAAAGUGGCUAAAAUAUAGUCUUUCCCUUUUUUGUCUUACCAAGUUUCGACCUCAAUUUUCGAGGAUUUCUAUGGGCCUCCACAGUAUCAGAUACAAAAUCCUCCUUAGAGAAUCAGUACUAAAGCUGAACUUUUCAAAUACUUAUUUUCCUUUAAAUUCAAGUUCACAUCAACUGAAACAGUUUACGGCUGUAGAUACCUCUGCAAGCUCUUCUGGUGAGGGUUUCAGUGCUCCUGCUAUUGCUUGCACCUCACCCUCCAGCAAUACCAAUCAUACCAAAGGCAAUUUCCAAGUCCAGAGCAGAAGCGUUGUGGCUAGAUAACCCUGUGCAACACACAUCUGAGCUGAAAUACAUCAUGUGAAAAAACUAUGAACAGGUGAACACAUAGCAUAGCUACUCUUCAAGCUUUAUUCUUUGUAAAGGAAUACAAGGACGUUGAAAGACUUUUAUAAUCUCCAGAAAGACUAAGAAAUAAUAGUUAAUAGUAUACAUUUAAGAAUAAGAAAGAUUUCUUGUUUAUUAAUGCAAGUGAAUAUCCGUCUCUGAUUAUAAGACUUCUGCACAUUGCUUCUCUCAAGCAUUUUCUGGUUUCUAUAUUUCUUUAUGACAUCAAUAGAAACCAUGGAACUAAUGAGCAUCCCAGCAACUCAGUUCCAGGAUCCACUGAAACACAUUUGAGAUAGCUAUGCGGAUGUUGCAGUUGCCAGUUCAUCCCAUAUGCAGCCACACUUGUUGGCUUCAACACAUACUAGAGCAAUUCAUGACAUGAUAGUCAAGGAUGGCAGCACCAGAAGUCAAAACAAGAGUUGAAAUGCUGCUUAAGACAGGAGACCUGAGAUCUAUAGAGAGGCACCGGGAGCACUGAGGAGACAGGCAGCUGGGGACACCGACGCUCUCGGAAGCCGCACUGCACGCCGGAGUGCAGCCCUGAGGGACUGCAGCCCAAGGGAUGACCCACACUGGGCACAGCCAUGAGGGGCUGCGGCCUGUGAGCAACCCUGGUAGACCGAACUGGUUACAGGCAACCUCAUCCUCAGAGGAAUGGAAAAGGACCAAAGGUGACGUGGGGAAAACAAGGGAAGUCGGGACUAGGAGGGGGAUGGGAGCAGGGAGAUGUAUUUGACUAAAGUUGAGUCUGGAGACUGGAGAAUAAACACAUUCAAGCGUUUAAUUAUUUGCUUUCUUUUUUUUCCCCCCCUGAAUAUCCAAAUAAGCAAACAGAAGUUUAUGUUAAUUAGUAGUACAUUAAAUCAAGUUAAAAUUCUUAAAGUCAAGA